rnacentral:rRNA from 1 species
AGCGGCGGAUGGGUGAGUAACACGUGGGCAAUCUGCCCUAAAGACUGGGAUACCACUUGGAAACAGGUGCUAAUACCGGAUAACAACAUGAAUCGCAUGAUUCAAGUUUGAAAGGCGGCGCAAGCUGUCACUUUAGGAUGAGCCCGCGGCGCAUUAGCUAGUUGGUGGGGUAAAGGCCUACCAAGGCAAUGAUGCGUAGCCGAGUUGAGAGACUGAUCGGCCACAUUGGGACUGAGACACGGCCCAAACUCCUACGGGAGGCAGCAGUAGGGAAUCUUCCACAAUGGACGCAAGUCUGAUGGAGCAACGCCGCGUGAGUGAAGAAGGUCUUCGGAUCGUAAAGCUCUGUUGUUGGUGAAGAAGGAUAGAGGCAGUAACUGGUCUUUAUUUGACGGUAAUCAACCAGAAAGUCACGGCUAACUACGUGCCAGCAGCCGCGGUAAUACGUAGGUGGCAAGCGUUGUCCGGAUUUAUUGGGCGUAAAGCGAGCGCAGGCGGAAUGAUAAGUCUGAUGUGAAAGCCCACGGCUCAACCGUGGAACUGCAUCGGAAACUGUCAUUCUUGAGUGCAGAAGAGGAGAGUGGAACUCCAUGUGUAGCGGUGGAAUGCGUAAAUAUAUGGAAGAACACCAGUGGCGAAGGCGGCUCUCUGGUCUGCAACUGACGCUGAGGCUCGAAAGCAUGGGUAGCGAACAGGAUUAGAUACCCUGGUAGUCCAUG